GCAUUGGUGAAGAGUCCCACAAUAGGACGAAACGGCCGUCCAGUGU
rfam:Schistosoma haematobium scaffold90_17, whole genome shotgun sequence.